rnacentral:rRNA from 1 species
CAGUCGCCGCGGUAAUACGGAGGGUGCAAGCGUUAAUCGGAAUUACUGGGCGUAAAGCGUGCGUAGGCGGUUCGUUAAGUCUGUUGUGAAAGCCCCGGGCUCAACCUGGGAAUGGCAAUGGAUACUGGCGAGCUAGAGUGUGUCAGAGGAUGGUGGAAUUCCCGGUGUAGCGGUGAAAUGCGUAGAGAUCGGGAGGAACAUCAGUGGCGAAGGCGGCCAUCUGGGACAACACUGACGCUGAGGCACGAAAGCGUGGGGAGCAAACCGGAUUAGAUACCCCCGUAGUCCCUGUCUCUUAUAC